rnacentral:rRNA from 1 species
CGGACGGGUGAGUAAUGUCUGGGAAACUGCCUGAUGGAGGAGGAUAACUACUGGAAACGGUAGCUAAUACCGCAUAACGUCGCAAGACCAAAGAGGGGGACCUUCGGGCCUCUUGCCAUCAGAUGUGCCCAGAUGGGAUUAGCUAGUAGGUGGGGUAACGGCUCACCUAGGCGACGAUCCCUAGCUGGUCUGAGAGGAUGACCAGCCACACUGGAACUGAGACACGGUCCAG